rnacentral:rRNA from 1 species
GACGAACGCUGGCGGCGUGCUUAACACAUGCAAGUCGAACGCUGAAGCCCUGGCUUUUGUUGGGUUGGAUGAGUGGCGAACGGGUGAGUAACACGUGAGUAACCUGCCCUCUUCUUUGGGAUAACGCCCGGAAACGGGUGCUAAUACUGGAUAUUCACUGGCCUUCGCAUGGGGGUUGGUGGAAAGGGUUGUUCUGGUGGGGGAUGGGCUCGCGGCCGAUCAGCUUGUUGGUGGGGUGAUGGCCUACCAAGGCUUUGACGGGUAGCCGGCCUGGGAGGGUGACCGGUCACAUUGGGACUGCGCUACGGCCCAGACUCCUACGGGAGGCAGCAGUGGGGAAUAUUGCACAAUGGGCGAAAGCCUGAUGCAGCGACGCCGCGUGAGGGAUGGAGGCCUUCGGGUUGUAAACCUCUUUCGCUCAUGGUCAAGCCGCAACUGUGGGUUGUGGUGAGGGUAGUGGGUAAAGAAGCGCCGGCUAACUACGUG